GAAAUUAGUUAUUUGAUUGCCAACAUAGAAUGCAGAUGCAACUAUUUAGGAAACUAUAUUAAACAGAAGAUAUGGGAAUCCAUUUACGAAUUGUUAAGAAAGCUGGGAAAUGCGCGAUCCAAUCACGUUCAUUCUGGCUCCCAGGAAAUUAUCCCAACAAUAGUGUUGUUGUGUUAGAUUUCCUUUUUCUCCUUGUCAUCUCUUAGGCCAUCUUUAUCGCCAUAUCUUUUGUGGUGUUCUUGGGCUUUUUAUAUUUGGAAAAAAUUAGAAACUGGGUUUAGAUCACAAAAAAACUGAUCUUAUUUGAGAACUGUUUUUUAGGUUGUUCUUGUGUGACGUGGCUGAUUGUUAUUGGAAAUUUUUCUUUUGGCAAACGAGAGAUCAAAUCUCAUUUCAUUUUCUUCGAUAUUGUCGAGCUAGCUUUUGUUUUUGUUUCUUCUUCUGUUCGAAAUCGCAUCUAGGUUUUCUUGUUUCUCUCCUUCUGCUGUUCUUAUUUUUUACUUCGAUUGUUGAUUUUGGCGAAUUGGGUUUCUCUGGAUUGAUUUUGGGCGAUGUUGAUGUCGAUUUUGUUGGUUUAAUUCAGUUAAUUUUCGCUAUUGACUAAUCGAUCGUGCGUAUGGAUUACUAUUUCCACUGGGUGAACCGAUUGAGCAGGUGGUUGUUCUGAUCGAACAAAGUGAAAAGCUGGGGAAGACAUUGCUGAACAAGAGAGGGCUAGAUAUUCGUGUUGCAGCUCUUGUAAGUCCUUUACAAGUCCUUGGGAACAAGAAGCUAUAGCGACGAAAGUACCUUCAGGACAAGGGAUUGUCAAGUUACCCAUGGGAUGAUCAUACACCGGAACUCUUAUUUGGCCUUACUCAACAGAGCUUCGAAUGAUGGCUGGUUCAAGAAUGAAACCCGCUCCAUAUAUCUCUUCUUCUUGCUCUCCCCUAGAAUUUCUUUUGGUGUCAAAGCUGCUUUUGUUUGUUAGAAUAUUCU